rnacentral:rRNA from 1 species
CUUCAGGCCUAACACAUGCAAGUCGAACGCGAAAGUGGAGCAAUCCAUGAGUAGAGUGGCGAACGGGUGAGUAACGCGUGGGUGACCUACCUUCGAGUGGGGGAUAACGUCCCGAAAGGGACGCUAAUACCGCAUAACAUCCCGCCUUUGAACAGGUGGAGAUCAAAGCUGGGGAUCGCAAGACCUGGCGUUUGGAGAGGGGCCCGCGUCUGAUUAGCUAGUUGGUGAGGUAACGGCCCACCAAGGCGACGAUCAGUAUCCGGCCUGAGAGGGCGGACGGACACACUGGGACUGAGACACGGCCCAGACUCCUACGGGAGGCAGCAGUGGGGAAUUGUUCGCAAUGGGCGCAAGCCUGACGACGCAACGCCGCGUGGAGGAUGAAGGUCUUCGGAUUGUAAACUCCUGUUGCCAGGGACGAAAAGCUCUGACCUAACACGUCGGAGUCUGACGGUACCUGGUGAGGAAGCCCCGGCUAACUCUGUGCCAGCAGCCGCGGUAAUACAGAGGGGGCUAGCGUUGUUCGGAAUUACUGGGCGUAAAGGGCGCGUAGGCGGCCCGCUAAGUCGAACGUGAAAUCCCCGGGCUCAACCCGGGAACUGCGUCCGAUACUGGCAGGCUUGAAUCCGGGAGAGGGAUGUGGAAUUCCAGGUGUAGCGGUGAAAUGCGUAGAUAUCUGGAGGAACACCGGUGGCGAAGGCGGCAUCCUGGACCGGUAUUGACGCUGAGGCGCGAAAGCCAGGGGAGCAAACGGGAUUAGAUACCCCGGUAGUCCUGGCCCUAAACGAUGAAUGCUUGGUGUGGCGGGUAUCGAU